rnacentral:rRNA from 1 species
GAUGAACGCUGGCGGCGUGCCUAAUACAUGCAAGUCGAGCGAACAGACGAGGAGCUUGCUCCUCUGACGUUAGCGGCGGACGGGUGAGUAACACGUGGAUAACCUACCUAUAAGACUGGGAUAACUUCGGGAAACCGGAGCUAAUACCGGAUAAUAUAUUGAACCGCAUGGUUCAAUAGUGAAAGACGGUUUUGCUGUCACUUAUAGAUGGAUCCGCGCCGCAUUAGCUAGUUGGUAAGGUAACAGCUUACCAAGGCAACGAUGCGUAGCCGACCUGAGAGGGUGGUAGGCGACACAGGAAAAGAGAGACGGGGCCCAGGACUACGGGAGGGGGCAGUAGGGGGUAUUCCGCGAAAGGGGGAAAAAGGAGGGAGGACAACGGCGGGAGAGAUGAAGAGGUUCUGCGAGUAAAAACCUGUUUUUAGGGAAGAAAAAAAAUGUAAGAAUAAAUGCUCGCCUUGAGGGGGAACCAUAAGAAAAACCCAGCGAAAAACAAG